GAAACAGCAAUAAGACUGCGCAGCCACAUUUUCCCAGUGCCACCAACUGGGCGUUAAGCUGACUAACGUUUUGAAAGCCCAGCCCAUUUCGUUCACAGCAGGCAAGGCAGCGGUUGACUGAUUGUACCCGCCAGCUGGCUAAUAUCAUAAUUAACAAAGUUGCUACCACAUCUGCAAAGUUUAAUCGAAAAAUUUGCCAGUGAUAUGAUGGCAUUGUCACAAAGAUCACAAGGGACACGGAGUUGACUUUUGCUCAAGGUGGAAUGGCAAAGCUGUAUGGGCAAGAUGAGAAAUCGUGCACUUGUUCAGCCAAAGGUUAUGCUUCAUAUCACCCACCGGGGAGGAUCAUCUCUCAUGAAAACUUCCAAAUUUGAUUUUGAAAAUUAUUCAGAAAAAUUUAAGCCACGCUAUCUCC